rnacentral:hammerhead_ribozyme from 1 species
AUCCAGCUGACGAGUCCUAAACAGGACGAAACGCGCGUCAAACUGGAU